UGGCUCGAGCUAACUCCCAACCCAAUGUGAACGUUACCAAUCUGUUGCCUCGGCGGGAUUCUCUGCCCCGGGCGCGUCGCAGCCCCGGAUCCCAUGGCGCCCGCCGGAGGACCAACUCAAACUCUUUUUUCUCUCCGUCGCGGCCUACGUCGCGGCUCUGUUUUAUUUUUGCUCUGAGCCUUUCUCGGCGACCCUAGCGGGCGUCUCGAAAAUGAAUCAAAACUUUCAACAACGGAUCUCUUGGUUCUGGCAUCGAUGAAGAACGCAGCGAAAUGCGAUAAGUAAUGUGAAUUGCAGAAUUCAGUGAAUCAUCGAAUCUUUGAACGCACAUUGCGCCCGCCAGUAUUCUGGCGGGCAUGCCUGUCCGAGCGUCAUUUCAACCCUCGAACCCCUCCGGGGGGUCGGCGUUGGGGAUCGGCCCCUCACCGGGCCGCCCCCGAAAUACAGUGGCGGUCUCGCCGCAGCCUCUCCUGCGCAGUAGUUUGCACACUCGCACCGGGAGCGCGGCGCGGCCACAGCCGUAAAACACCCCAAACUCUGAAAUGUUGACCUCGGAUCAGGUAGGAAUACCCGCUGAACUUAAGCAUAUCAAUAAGGCGAGAGGAA
rnacentral:rRNA from 1 species